CCGGAAGGUGCGGAUGGAUCACCUCCUUUCUA
rnacentral:rRNA from 1 species